GCCCGGUUAGCUCAAUCGGUAGAGCGUGAGACUCUUAGCUUUCACGUUCCCUUAGAACGAUUGAUUCGGUAAAUCUCAAGGUUGCGGGUUCGACCCCCGCAUCGGGCU